rnacentral:rRNA from 1 species
UACAGAGGUCUCAAGCGUUGUUCGGAUUCAUUGGGCGUAAAGGGUGCGUAGGCGGCGCGGUAAGUCGGGUGUGAAAUCUCGGAGCUUAACUCCGAAACUGCAUUCGAUACUGCCGUGCUUGAGGACUGGAGAGGAGACUGGAAUUUACGGUGUAGCGGUGAAAUGCGUAGAUAUCGGGAGGAAUACCAGUGGCGAAGGCGACUUUCUGGCUUACUCCUGACGUGAGGAAGCGAA